GGGCCCGCACAAGCGGUGGAGCAUGUGGUUCAAUUCGACGCAACGCGAAGAACCUUACCCAGGCUUGAACAGCGAGUGACCAUUCCCGAAAGGGAACUUCCGCAAGGACACUCGUAGAGGUGCUGCAUGGCUGUCGUCAGCUCGUGUCGUGAGAUGUUGGGUUAAGUCCCGCAACGAGCGCAACCCUUGUUUGCUGUUGCCAUCAGGUUAUGCUGGGCACUCUGCAAAGACUGCCGGUGAUAAACCGGAGGAAGGUGGGGAUGACGUCAAGUCAGCAUGGCCUUUAUGUCUGGGGCUACACACGUGCUACAAUGGCCGGUACAAACCGUCGCAAAACCGCAAGGUGGAGCUAAUCGGAGAAAGCCGGUCUCAGUUCGGAUAGCAGGCUGCAACUCGCCUGCUUGAAGUUGGAAUCGCUAGUAAUCGCGGAUCAGCACGCCGCGGUGAAUACGUUCCCGGGCCUU
rnacentral:rRNA from 1 species